rnacentral:rRNA from 1 species
UAGGGAAUCUUCCACAAUGGACGCAAGUCUGAUGGAGCAACGCCGCGUGAGUGAAGAAGGCUUUCGGGUCGUAAAACUCUGUUAUUGAAGAAGAACGUGUGUGACAGUAACUGGUCAUGCAGUGACGGUAUUCAAUCAGAAAGUCACGGCUAACUACGUGCCAGCAGCCGCGGUAAUACGUAGGNGGCAAGCGUUGUCCGGAUUUAUUGGGCGUAAAGCGAGUGCAGGCGGUCUUUUAAGUCUGAUGUGAAAGCCUUCGGCUUAACCGAAGAAGGGCAUCGGAAACUGGGAGACUUGAGUGCAGAAGAGGAGAGUGGAACUCCAUGUGUAGCGGUGAAAUGCGUAGAUAUAUGGAAGAACACCAGUGGCGAAGGCGGCUCUCUGGUCUGUAACUGACGCUGAGGCUCGAAAGCGUGGGUAGCAAACAGGAUUAGAUACCCUGGUAGUCCA